AAAAAUCUCUUCCCAACAAAAUCUUAGCUCACCACAACAGCAAUCUUAAAUCUGAAAUGCAGAACUUUUAAAAAACGCUAUUAACAGUCAAUUAUAUAACUUAGGGAAGGAGACGAACAAACAAAAACAAGCAGUUUUUCCCCCUUAAGGAAACUUUUACAUAAGCAGCAGGCCUCAAAAAAAUCCGGCAUAUCCUGACCCUAAAUGGGGCUCCCCCAUAUCCUGACCCCUGGGUAUUUAAGCCCCACCGCCCCAACCCACCUCCAAGCCCAGCUAGAAACAAGUUAAACAAACAGCAAUUACAUUUUCAAAAGUCAAAUGUUUUUUUUAAUUAGGUCAGUCGGUCAAACCCUUCGGCGUCUUCUUUUCCAGGCAGGCCUCCUCUGCAGGACUGGUGUUAUCCCACAAAGAGAGGUUCUCCAAAGACCAGACAGAAGGAGGACAAGUUCAAGAGAGGCAAAAGGAAAUCCUGAACUAUCACUCAACCUCAGUCUGGAAUAGAAUGGGCUGGUCAGAAUCAGAAGUCUGUAAUGUGGACUGUUUGGCCCAGGCACCAAAAUUCCAGAAGUUUGAAAGUAUCUCAGAGUUUUAAGAACCUUCCCUGGUUAUCCAAAAAGCACUGUUUGCAUGCUGAGGCUCCACGGGCCACUGGUGGCUCCCCCCCCCCCUCCGCAAAGGUGCAAAAACUCUCCCUGCAGAAAUGCCUGUCAGCCAUUGACUGGGAGAGAAUCUCCAGAGAGCUGCCCUGGAAGCCAACUCCCAGGCCACGCAGAGCAGACGGGCAGGGCAGGAAGAAGACUACAGCCAGCCCUUCUUCAGCAAUGCAGGGGGAGUGGCUUGGACCCCACCAGAAAGCUCAGAAGAGACACCAAGCAAAGACUUGCUACCCCGCUCAUCCCAGCCAAAUGUAAAGCCUAUUACAAAAAAAAUAAAAUAGCGUCCACUUACCCCUGGCCUGGGCAGAGACAGGUAGGUACGCUUCUCUCCUAUGAACGACACACAUACAUUCACAGUAAAAUUGGUCACGUGCAAUCCCUUCAUGCAAUUAAACUGUUGGUCUUGUUUCUUUCAGCUUUAUUGCAUCUUUAAUUGAAGUCACCCACCUGCGGGGAUUCCACUUUAUAGUUCACACAAGCUCACUCAGCCAUCUGGUUUCACUGAAAAGGGGAGAUUCAGCUGAUGCUUCGAUUUCUGUCUCUCUGGAUGCCUGGGAAGUUGAGUGGAGCCCACCUCCCAAUAGCUUACUGAAUACCCAAGAAGGGGAGAUAGUUUUACAGAAAGGCCAACAUCAUGAAACCUUGCUUAGCAAUUAAGGGGGUGAGUUGUGAGCUUGGAAGUUUCCGAAUCAAAUUUCAUUUUAGUUCAGUAGAACCUUGGCUGCAUUCUCUAAUAGCCUACCUUACAGUGUUGUUGUACAGACUACUGAGGUGACACAUUUGAAUACUUACUAGGGGGAAAAGAGUUUUACAUAUCAGCUUGAGAGAGGUAGCCAUGUUUCUUAUUUAUGUUUUGUAUUUAUGUUGUUAACCAACCCAAACCCCAAUUGCCAGAGAAGGGGCAGGGCAAAAAUCAAGUGAAAUAAAUAAAAUAAUAAA